rnacentral:rRNA from 1 species
GAUGAACGCUAGCGGCAGGCCUAAUACAUGCAAGUCGAGGGGUAGUGGAAGCUUGCUUCCAUGAGACCGGCGCACGGGUGCGUAACGCGUAUGCAACCUACCUCUAUCUGGGGGAUAGCCCGGAGAAAUCCGGAUUAACACCGCAUAAAAUCACAGUACGGCAUCGUACAAUGAUCAAAUAUUUAUAGGAUAGGGAUGGGCAUGCGUGUCAUUAGUUAGUUGGCGGGUAACGGCCCACCAAGACCACGAUGACUAGGGGAUCUGAGAGGAUGGCCCCCCACACUGGUACUGAGACACGGACCAGACUCCUACGGGAGGCAGCAGUAAGGAAUAUUGGUCAAUGGAGGCAACUCUGAACCAGCCAUGCCGCGUGCAGGAAGACGGCCCUCUGGGUUGUAAACUGCUUUUAUUCGGGAAUAAACCUGCUUACGUGUAAAGUAGCUGAAUGUACCGAAGGAAUAAGGAUCGGCUAACUCCGUGCCAGCAGCC